GUGAUAAUUAGAGCAUGGUUCAAAAUGCUUUUAGGCCAAAUAUAAAAGGCAAAACUUCUUAUCUGUUACUUUUCAUAUAUAAUAGGUAAGGUAUUUCUUAGGCUCAUUGAAAUCUUGAAAUAGCAAGUACCUUUGAAAUGGUGUAAGUUGCUGGGGAAGGAUUUAGUAAAUUCAUUAAUGUGUCUGUUCUCACAAUGAGUUUUAACCAGAAUGUAUCAUAUUAAGAGCCUUUGUUUUUAAGCUGGACAUUGUUUUUCCAUGAAUAUUGUGGUACUCAAAUUCACUAAAACAAUUAGAUGCAUAGGGGUAGAAUGGAAGAGAAAGAAGGGCAGUAGUUUUGCUUUUCUUUCCUCCUGUUGAGAAAAACAGCUGUAAGUUUUCAUCAUACAUUCGAAGAUUUUCUGUUGUGUUAUUAUUGGAGGAGCACUUUCUUUGAGUCUUACUUUAAUAAUUCUGUCGUGUGCUCUUUGAUUCUUAGGUUUUUGUUAGCUAAACCCUAGGAAGCCGUAACCUUGAUGAGGUGGCACAUGCUUUCUGGUCUCAUCAGCUUUUAUUUCAUUUGCCACACAGGAGAAAAUUAAUUGUUUUGAGUUGGUUUCCUCCAGAUCAUGGAAUGUUUGCCUCAUUUUCUUUGGUUUGAAGAUCAUUUUCAAAAUCUGGAGUUAAUCACAGUACAGCAAAAGCCACAAUCUCUUUCUCAUUAACUUUUUUUCUGGCAUGGUUGCUAGAUCACCUCUGGUCAGUUCCAUGAAAUUCGACAAAAAUCUAACUUUAUAACCAAGGAAAAUAGUCUCAGCUUCUCAGUAUUUCAGAAAGGAAUAGGGAACAGAAUUUAAUUCCAUAUUCAUCCAAAGGCCUGGCAGUACUAAGGGAAAGAUUAACUAGCUACCUUAUUUCAGUUAUUUUAUAUUCACCCCAACUUUGUUUUUUUCUGGUGGGAGAGGGGGCUCACAGAGUAACAGAAUUGUCAUAUUCCCUUUAAAAAUAUACAUUUUUAUAAUAUAUACAUCAGAAAUGCGAACAAGGAAGUGAACACAUCCAUGUGACUAGCACCCAAAACAAGCACCCCAAAGAUAGCACCCAGAGGCCCCCUUCUGCAUCCUAGUCAUAAUCCUUCCACAAAAGUAACGCAUCUUGUUUUAUAGUACAUUUAUUCAUUGUGCCCAUUUUAAAGCUUUAUAUAAAUUGAAUCAUACAAUAUAUAGUCUUCUGCCUGGCUUCUUUCAUUCGUAUUUUUUAUGCGUAACUAAGUUUGUUCAUACUCCUGGCUAUGUAAUUCAUGUUGGUAGACUGCAAUUUUGUGGUCCAUUUUACUGUUGAUGGCCAUUUGGCUAUUGUACAUAGUGCUGCUGCAGAUGUUCUUGUACCCGUCUUUUGGUGAAUAUGCGUACACAUUUCUGCUGGAUAUAUACCUAAGAGUAGAACUGCUGGAUUAUAGGGUAAGCAUAUGUACAGCUUGAGUAGAUUGUCAAACUGACUUCUAAAGGAGCUAUACCAGUUUACACUCCCACCAGCAGUGCAUGAGGGUUGCAGUUGUUCUACAUGCUUGGUAUAUGUGGUAUUGUCAGUCUCUUAAAGAUUCUUCUUAUGGAUCUUAGCCUUCAUUUUCAUUUCCUUAUGACUAAUGAGCUCAAUUACCUUUUCAAUAUUGGCCAUUUGGAUAUUACCAUUUGUAAAGUGCCUGUUCAAGUAUUUUGCCAAUUUUUCUGUCUAGUUUUUGUUUUGAUUUGCAUUUGUAUAUAUAUUUUGAAUAUGAGCUCUUUAUGUAUGUGACAUGUAUUUUCUCAUGGUGUGUGGUUACCUUUUUCUUCUUCUACCAGUGUCUUUUGAUUAACAGAAACUCUGUUUUAGUGUAUGUAAUCAAGUUUAUCAAUUCUUUCCUUUAUAGUGAGUA
rnacentral:lncRNA from 10 species